rnacentral:rRNA from 1 species
UACGUAGGGUGCGAGCGUUGUCCGGAAUUAUUGGGCGUAAAGGGCUCGUAGGCGGUUUGUCGCGUCGGGAGUGAAAUCCACUGGCUUAACUGGUGGCUUGCUUUUGAUACGGGCAGACUGGAGGUAUGCAGGGGAGAACGGAAUUCCUGGUGUAGCGGUGAAAUGCGCAGAUAUCAGGAGGAACACCGGUGGCGAAGGCGGUUCUCUGGGCAUGAUCUGACGCUGAGGAGCGAAAGUGUGGGGGAGCGAACAGG